rnacentral:rRNA from 1 species
GUGGAGCUUUACUGUAGCCUGAUAUUGAAAUUCGGCACAGCUUGUACAGGAUAGGUAGGAGCCUUUGAAACGUGAGCGCUAGCUUACGUGGAGGCGCUGGUGGGAUACUACCCUAGCUGUGUUGGCUUUCUAACCCGCACCACUUAUCGUGGUGGGAGACAGUGUCAGGCGGGCAGUUUGACUGGGGCGGUCGCCUCCUAAAAGGUAACGGAGGCGCUCAAAGGUUCCCUCAGAAUGGUUGGAAAGCAUUCAUAGAGUGUAAAGGCAUAAGGGAGCUUGACUGCGAGACCUACAAGUCAAGCAGGGUCGAAAGACGGACUU